CCUACGGGAGGCAGCAGUGGGGAAUAUUGCACAAUGGGCGCAAGCCUGAUGCAGCGACGCCGCGUGAGCGAAGAAGUAUUUCGGUAUGUAAAGCUCUAUCAGCAGGGAAGAAAAUGACGGUACCUGACUAAGAAGCUCCGGCUAAAUACGUGCCAGCAGCCGCGGUAAUACGUAUGGAGCAAGCGUUAUCCGGAAUUACUGGGUGUAAAGGGAGCGUAGACGGAUGUGCAAGUCUGAUGUGAAAGGCGGGGGCUCAACCCCUGGACUGCAUUGGAAACUGUAAAUCUUGAGUGCCGGAGAGGUAAGCGGAAUUCCUAGUGUAGCGGUGAAAUGCGUAGAUAUUAGGAGGAACACCAGUGGCGAAGGCGGCUUACUGGACGGUAACUGACGUUGAGGCUCGAAAGCGUGGGGAGCAAACAGGAUUAGAUACCCUAGUAGUC
rnacentral:rRNA from 1 species